rnacentral:rRNA from 1 species
GACGAACGCUGGCGGCGCGCCUAACACAUGCAAGUCGAACGGAGCUGCGAGAAGCUUGCUUUUCUUAGCUUAGUGGCGAACGGGUGAGUAACGCGUGAGUAACCUGCCCUGGAGUGGGGGACAACAGUUGGAAACGACUGCUAAUACCGCAUAAGCCCACGAUCCGGCAUCGGAUUGAGGGAAAAGGAUUUAUUCGCUUCAGGAUGGACUCGCGUCCAAUUAGCUAGUUGGUGAGGUAACGGCCCACCAAGGCGACGAUGGGUAGCCGGACUGAGAGGUUGAACGGCCACAUUGGGACUGAGACACGGCCCAGACUCCUACGGGAGGCAGCAGUGGGGGAUAUUGCACAAUGGGGGAAACCCUGAUGCAGCGACGCCGCGUGGAGGAAGAAGGUUUUCGGAUUGUAAACUCCUGUCGUUAGGGACGAUAAUGACGGUACCUAACAAGAAAGCACCGGCUAACUACGUG